AUAUGCCUUAAGGUGGGGGACAACAGUUGGAAACGACUGCUAAUACCGCAUAAUGUCUACGGACCAAAGGAGGGGCUCUUCGGACCUUUCGCCUUUUGAUUAGCCCAAGUGAGAUUAGCUAGUAGGUAAGGUAAUGGCUUACCUAGGCGACGAUCUCUAGCUGGUUUGAGAGGAUGAUCAGCCACACUGGGACUGAGACACGGCCCAGACUCCUACGGGAGGCAGCAGUGGGGAAUAUUGCACAAUGGGCGGAAGCCUGAUGCAGCCAUGCCGCGUGUGUGAAGAAGGCCUUCGGGUUGUAAAGCACUUUCAGUCGUGAGGAAAGGUAUUCGUUUAAUAAACGGAUACUGUGACGUUAGCGACAGAAGAAGGACCGGCUAACUCCGUGCCAGCAGCCGCGGUAAUACGGAGGGUGCGAGCGUUAAUCGGAAUUACUGGGCGUAAAGCGUACGCAGGCGGUUUGUUAAGCCAGAUGUGAAAGCCCCGGGCUCAACCUGGGAAUUGCAUUUGGAACUGGGUAACUAGAGUCUUGUAGAGGGAGGUAGAAUUUCAGGUGUAGCGGUGAAAUGCGUAGAUAUCUGAAGGAAUACCGGUGGCGAAAGGCGGCCUCCUGGACAAAGACUGACGCUCAUGCACGAAAGCGUGGGGAGCGAACAG
rnacentral:rRNA from 1 species